GAUGAAGAACGUAGCGAAAUGCGAUACUUGGUGUGAAUUGCAGAAUCCCGUGAACCAUCGAGUCUUUGAACGCAAGUUGCGCCCGAAGCCACUAGGCCGAGGGCACGCCUGCCUGGGCGUCACACGUCGUUGCCCCCCACCAUCUACUCCUUCGGGAUUGCGGGGGGCGGAUGAUGGCCUCCCGUGCGCCUAGCCGCGCGGUUGGCAUAAAUACCAAGUCCUCGGCGACGCACGCCACGACAAUCGGUGGUUGCGAAACCUCGGUUGCCCGUCGUGUGCGUUCGUCGCGCAUCGAGGGCUCGUAAAAAUGCUCGGCUCCGGCUCGGCUUUCAACGCGACCCCAGGUCAGGCGGGGUUACCCGCUGAAUUUAAGCAUAUCAAUAAGCGGAGGA
rnacentral:misc_RNA from 1 species